AACGCACAUUGCGCCCCCUGGCAUUCCGGGGGGCAUGCCUGUCCGAGCGUCAUUGCACCCCUCAAGCACGGCUUGUCUCCUGGGCCAUCGUCCCGCACCCGCUCCCCGUGAGCGGGCGGACGGGCCCCAAAUGCAGUGGCAGCACCGCGUGACUGGUGUCUGAGCUGAUGGGCAUCCACCAGGCUCGAAGACCCGGCGCGGGCUCGCCGUCAGACCCAAUGUUCCACACUCGGUUUGACCUCGGAUCAGGUAGGAGUACCCGCUGAACUUAA
rnacentral:misc_RNA from 1 species